rnacentral:lncRNA from 1 species
AGGGAAUGUGUGCUUCCGGUGGAGUUUGCUGAAGUGCCAUGGAGGGAACACUAGCCUGAGAGUCAAAACACCUGGGCUUCAGGUCUGUCUUACGCAAGUCAUGAAACGAAAUCCGGACUAGUUGCUUGUUGGUUUAUAUAUGAUUUCUGUAGGAAGCUCAUGAGCAUAAGGAUUGGCUCAUUGAAAAUCAAAGAUUUCAAGAACAUUCAGCGCCCAGGGUCAAGUUUAACUCCAGCUCUGGAUCAGCCCUGGGCAGGCCCUGCACCAGGUGAGGAUGGGGUAGGGUGAGGAGUGGAUGCGUGUCCACUGAGCUUUGCAGCAGAGAAGAGGCACGGCAGAGGAGAGAAGAGAGCGCUUUCAGAGGAGGUGGUGAGGAGGGAAGGGGAGCCGCUGAGCCUGCCUGUGAGUGGUUGCUGUUCGGAGGGCCAGCUCUGUCAGGAGCUCUAUCUGGACUCUGCACUCAGGACAACAGACAGAGACAGCACAUUGAU